GAUGAACGCUGACAGAAUGCUUAACACAUGCAAGUCAACUGUGGCGGACGGGUGAGUAACGCGUAAAGAACUUGCCUCAGAGUUAGGGACAACAUUUGGAAACGAAUGCUACUACCUGAAACUGUGAGAGAGCUUUGCGUCCCAUUAGCUCGUGGGAGAGGUAACGGCUAACCAAGGCGAUGAUGGGUAGCCGGCCUGAGAGGGUGAUCGGCCACCAGGGGACUGAGACACGGCCCUUAGUCUUACGGGAGGCAGCAGUGGGGAAUAUUGGACAAUGGACCAAAGUCUGAUCCAGCAAUUCUGUGUGCAGGAUGAAGUUUUCGGAAUGUAAAGUGCUUUAAGUUGGGAAGCAGUACCAACAGAAGAAGUGACGGCUAAAUACGUGCCAGCAGCCGCGGUAAGAC
rnacentral:rRNA from 1 species